rnacentral:rRNA from 1 species
GAAAAGCUAACUGUCUCCCUGCCCCCACUAAAAACUAAUAUCCGGGUGAAAAAGCCCGGAUCCCACCGGAGGACAAAAAGACCCUAUCGAGCUUGGCUCCCCCGCAAACCCUAUAAGGGUUGCGGAGAGAUUUUGUUGGGGCAACAACGGGAAACCCAUUAACCCCCGUAAUCACAACCUAAAUAAAGAACCAAACCAACACUGUUGAAUAAAAAUAAGCUACCGUAGGGAUAACAGCGUAAUCCUGUUCUAGAGUUCACAUCAAAAACAGGGUUUGCGACCUCGAUGUUGGACUAGGGGACCACUUCAGCGCAGAAGUUGAAGAGUGCUGGUCUGUUCGACCAAUAAACCCCU